GAGGGCGACCCCGGCCCUCCGCUCCCGCCAUUCCCCGGGGGCCCCAGACUGCGACCCAUCCCCACCUGCCAAGCCACGGAAUAGGCACGUCGAGCUGGAAAUUACGACGGCAGCCGCGGGCGCGUCCCUCGAAUGUUUUUCAAAGUCUGAGUACCGUAACGCGCUUGCGUUCGAAGAUUCGCGGCACGUCGAGAACUACACACGCUUUUUCCCUUUUACGAGCUAGUCGCAGCGCGAACCUUUCCGCGCAUGCGCCGUCCUUCCUUUGUGACGUGUCGCGCUGCUCCUUGGGAAAUGUAGUUUUUAUUUUAUCAGUCUAUGCCCGAUGCCCUAAGGGAACUUAAGAAACCAGAGUCCUUGUGUGUUUUUAAACAAAAAUUCAACUGAGUAACUUAAAAGGUCAAAUUGACUCUAUUGAAUGAUUCAUGAAUCAGGCAGCAUCCCAUCUGACAAAUAGAAAGGAGCUCCACCUAGCUGCAGAAAAGAUUCCAAGUCUCACAAAAGAUGAAACAAACAGACCUCCCUGGCACCAAAGAAGCACCAGAAGCAAUUGAGUAACAUCCACUAACGUGACUUCAUGGGCCUCCAAUUAACAGCAUCCACCUUCUGGGAAGACCCACCACCAUGACCACCACCUGCUCCAAAUUUUGCCCUUAAAAAUCCUCGCUUGUAAGCCAUGGGGGAGUUUGGGACUUUUGAGCAUUAGCUCCCUGAAUGGUACCACACCAAUAA